GAUGAACGCUGGCGGCGUGCCUAAUACAUGCAAGUCGAGCGAAUGGAUUAAGAGCUUGCUCUUAUGAAGUUAGCGGCGGACGGGUGAGUAACACGUGGGUAACCUGCCCAUAAGACUGGGAUAACUCCGGGAAACCGGGGCUAAUACCGGAUAACAUUUUGAACCGCAUGGUUCGAAAUUGAAAGGCGGCUUCGGCUGUCACUUAUGGAUGGACCCGCGUCGCAUUAGCUAGUUGGUGAGGUAACGGCGCACCAAGGCAACGAUGCGUAGCCGACCGGAGAGGGUGAUGGGCCACACUGGGACUGCGACACGGCCCAGACUCCUACGGGAGGCAGCAGUAGGGAAUCUUCCGCAAUGGACGAAAGUCUGACGGAGCAACGCCGCGUGAGUGAUGAAGGCUUUCGGGUCGUAAAACUCUGUUGUUAGGGAAGAACAAGUGCUAGUUGAAUAAGCUGGCACCUUGACGGUACCUAACCAGAAAGCCACGGCUAACUACGUGCCAGCCGCCGCCGUAA
rnacentral:rRNA from 1 species